GAGGAUCGAUUUUACCUUCUAUAAGGACCGAUAAGUAGACUGGACUGGACUAGACUGGAACAUGGUCCUCGGUCCUAGUUAAGGACAGAAACAAUACAAGUUGUCAGUUUAUAUACAGUGUCUUGCAGAUAAAUUGGGACAGACUUUAACUACAUCCACAUCAAUGAAGAGAGCAUUCCGUUUUGAAUGUGAUCAGACAAUAAGUAGUGAUGGAGCAGCGAAGAAGGUGGACCGGACGCACAACAACCACAAUGAUAGGUGGUUGCCCCAUGAGAAGUCCGCCAUUCCUCACGUCUUCAAGACCAAGUUUCCGGUAUCCAUUAUGACCUUAGAAGUCGUGGGGAGCAACGGAUCAGUGAUGCCCCUGUUCUUUUUUAACUCAAAGGAACGUGUCGGGUCAGAUAGAUAUUGUGAGGUUUAGAAGGCUAUUGUCAUUCUCUGGAUAAACAAGGAGGCCAAUGAAACCCAGUUCGCGUUUCAGCAAGACUCUGCUCCUGCACAGACGGCCAAGAAGACUUGGGACCUUCUUAACAGCAAUUAAAUCCCUUGUGGUAGCCACAAAACCUCGUCCCCAACUCCCCUAAUAUGAACCUCUUGGACUUCUACUUAUAGAGGAAGUUAGAGAGACUGGUUUUUGCUACCAGCCAUAACAGGCAUUAAUGCCCUGAAAGCCUCUAUUACCAAGCACUGGACGGCUAUUGAUCCCGCAGAAGUUGUCAAGGCGUGCAAGGCCUUCAGGCCAAGAAUUGACAGAAUGGUUUCCAUAAAUGGAGAUCACAUAGAAUUAUAUUAUUGUUAAUAAAAUAAAGAAUAAACUGAAUCAUCACUU
rnacentral:lncRNA from 1 species